GACAGAGGGUGCAAACGUUGUUCGGAAUUACUGGGCGUAAAGCGCGUGUAGGCGGCUAUGCAAGUCGGAUGUGAAAGCCCUCGGCUCAACCGGGGAAGUGCACCCGAAACUGCAAGCUAGAGUCUCGGAGAGGAUCGUGGAAUUCUCGGUGUAGGAGGUGAAAGUUCGUAAGAUAUCGAGAGGAACACCGGUGGCGAAGGCGGCGAUCUGGACGAUGACUGACGCUGAGACGCGAAGCGUGGGAGCAACAGGAUGAAGAACCCGAGGUAGUC
rnacentral:rRNA from 1 species